GGAGCACACCUCUGAUGACUUGCGCACAGGAAGUUUUCAAUACAUUCAGGAUGCAGGUUCACAGAGACUGCCUGGUCCCCAUGAGGUAGUGUUCUGCAGUGAGACAGAAGAGAUCCCAGGGGUGAUGCUGUGGAGGUACCCUGAACCUCGUGUCCUCACCUUUGUCAGGAUAAUGCCUGUCCCUUUCAACACCACCGAGGACCCUGAGAUCAGUACGGCCGACCUGGGAGACGUCCUGCAGGUACCAUGCAGUCUGGAGUACUGGGAUGAGCUCCAGCAGACCUUUGUUCAGUACCGGG